GAUGAACGCUGGCGGCGUGCCUAACACAUGCAAGUCGAACGAAGCGCUUUUUUGGAAGCUUUUCGGAGUGAAAGAGAAAGUGACUGAGUGGCGGACGGGUGAGUAACGCGUGGGUAACCUACCCCACACAGGGGGACAACAGCUGGAAACGGCUGCUAAUACCGCAUAGGCGCACAGCUUCGCAUGAAGGAGUGUGGAAAGCAAUAGCGGUGUGGGAUGGGCCCGCGUCUGAUUAGCUGGUUGGUGAGGCAGAGGCUCACCAAGGCGACGAUCAGUAGCCGGCCUGAGAGGGCGGACGGCCACAUUGGGACUGAGACACGGCCCAGACUCCUACGGGAGGCAGCAGUGGGGGAUAUUGCACAAUGGGGGGAACCCUGAUGCAGCGACGCCGCGUGAGCGAAGAAGUAUUUCGGUAUGUAAAGCUCUAUCAGCAGGGAAGAAAAUGACGGUACCUGAGUAAGAAGCCCCGGCUAAAUACGUGCCAGCAGCCGCGGUAAUACGUAUG
rnacentral:rRNA from 1 species